AUGGAAACUUGCCGUCGGCUCAUCACCCAAUCUGGAGACCGUAACAACAUUUGACUGAACUGAUUUGGCACCGUGAAACAAGCAUCAUUGGAACUUGCGCAGACAUAGUUGGCAGAACAAGGAGAAGAAAGUAGUCAAUGUCUGACAGAAAUGGAAUGCACUUUGGCUUUGCUUGUCUUUGAUAGUCCUGAAGAAUCACCCUUUGAAGAUUUGCUUAAUAUAAUGCAGUGGCAGAAGAUAUGUGGAGUUAAAUUAAGCUGUCCUAGACCAUGAAAAUUGUGAGUCAAAACCUAAGUUGGCAAAGUUACUGAAGCUACUACUAUGGGCUCAGAAUGAGCUGGACCAGAAGAAAGUAAAAUAUCCCAAAAUGACAGACCUUAGCAAGGGGACAAUUGAGAAACCCAAGUAAAAUGUGUAGAAGGACAGCAGGCAACUUUCCUACUGCAUGUUGUUUUUCAUUUACAUCAGUCUGUGACUGAAAGGUUUUUACAGUAUAGGACUUGAUUUUUUUUUUUUUUUUUUUUUUAGCAAACGUCUUAAAACGGGAGAAAUCCUUUUAAAUGCUGGGGGAAAAUGUUGCAUUGGAAAGUGCUGUAUAUCUUUGAAAGUCUGACUUAGGCUAUGCACUAUAAUAUAUUUUUUAAGAAUUAGAUAAAUUUCAUUUUGCAUUUUAACAUCCUAGUGCUUUUCUGAUUAGCUACUGAAGGCUUUUAGGUUAAUAGCCAUUCGAGUGCUGCAUUAGUAAAGAAUAUCAGUUCAGCUGAAUGCCUCACACUUAAAAUGUUUGCAGAACACUGAUUAUUUCCUUUAUGUUAAAUUAUAGUAGCCAGAUAAUGCAUUUUCUCAACCACAAAGUUCUGUCAAGUUUUUAUCAAGCAUUUUCCUUUUGGGUCCCUUUAUUUGCAUAGGAAUAAAGUAUAUAUAAACUUGUAAAUUGUAGUUCAAGGGAAAAAAAAAGAAUGGGAUGUCAUGCAUAUUAUGUUUUGAGGGAGAGGACCUGGGUAGCCCUGGACAAGUCUCUCAAACUUUCUUUAAAGUGAAGGGGAUUGGAUUAACUCACUAGAGGUACCUUUCAAUCUUAAAUCUUUGAUCCUAUGAAAUCUGCUUGGGAGGAUUCUGGGAAGAUGGCAAAAUAGAUCAGAAAAUUCCAAGCUCUCCAGAUUCCCCUCCCCCCAAACAAGACAAAAUAGCGCCUCAGGGAGGAUAGAGUGCUAAAAAAAUAAAGAGGAGUUGGGGCAGAACAGUCCUGAAGAUCAAAGAAAAAACCCAGUAUGGAGGUUUGGUCCGGGUGAAGGGUAAACACCUCCAGGCUAAGUCCACUGAAACAACAAGUGGCAAGUCCUGGGGCUAGCUAGGUUGGGAGGUGGCCUCAGCCCCAGCCACAAGAACUUUCACCUCUCAGUUUGGGGAGCUGGGUAUCUGAAUCAGGAAGAUUGAGCGAACCUCUGCGGAUAAGGAAUGCCAGUCCCAACUGUGCUGCCAAGAUGUGGCCCUGGGCAUGGGGGAAACAGCACAUGUCAGAUGAGUACAGAAGCAAUGGGGCUGGGACACCACUGGCUGUGGGCUCUUAAGGAGGGCAGAAUUCUUGGUUUCUUUUCCAAGCUAAAGGGGAGAAUUGAAGGAGGAUGCAAGGCCAGAGGCACCAUCCCCUGUAUUCUAGGACUAGAGGUAACUACAAAAAUAAGUCGCUAGCAAAAAAAAAACCGAGCAGGCAAAGGAGAAGGAGUACAACCAUCAAAAGUUGCUAUGGGACUAAAGAAUACCGGGGUAUGUAUUCAGAGGAGGUUACUGAAGCAAAAAAAAAAAAAAAAA